CUUUUCAAUCCAUGUGCCUCAAUUGCUAACUCUUAUCCAAUUGCAUUGACUAAUACUUCCAACACAAUAUUAAAUAGGAGUGGAGAUUGCAAGCAUCAUUAUAUUCUUUCUGAGUUUUGCAGGAAAGCCUCUAACGAUUCUCCAUUAAGUAAAAUAAAUGCUGAUACAGUGUGUUAUGUGUGUGCGCGCCCAUAAUUAAUCUUAAGGAAGUAUGCAAUAUUGAAAAUAGCUAGCAAUCUAAUCUCUUCACCUCACCUCUUCUCGUUCCCCUUCAGUUAUCCAAAAUUUUACUUUAAGUUUUUUCAGUCCUAAGACCAUUGAGAAGAUCAGGAAGCUUAAUCUACUUUUUAUAUAAAGUCCUAAUUCUUUACCAUUUAAAAUAAUUGUAUUCUAUCUGUAGGACAAUAUUUUCUCCCUUAUAACCAUUAUUCUUAGUACUACAAAUUAAAUAUCUACUUAAUGCUCACCACCAGUCUUUAUGUCAAUGUAUUUCCAGUCUUAUUUCUUGUCUAGAGCUCACUCUCGUCCAUUCCUCAGAAACAGAUCUAUAUCUAUAUCUAUCUAUCUAUCUAUCUAUCCAUCUAUCUAUCUUCAGGUUCACUGAUUAUUUCUUCUGUCAUCUCCAUAUCUCUAUUCUUCUACUGAUGUCAUCCAACAAAUUUUAUAUUUAAACCUAUACUGUUUUAUAUUAUAUAAAUAUACUUUAUAUUGUAUUUUUGUUUAAAAAUCUGUUCCUCUUUUACAUUUCUAUAAAUUGUCUACACUUUGAUUCCCUGUGAGCAUGUCUCCUUUGGCCUCAUUCAGUGUAUUCAAAUAGCUGCUGCUAAGCCCUGGUCUGAUAAUUCUAACAUCUUGGUCAUCUUGAGGUUCGCGUCAGUUGAUUGUCUUUUCCUGUUAAAAUGGAUCAUAUCUUUUCUGGCUUUUUGUACAUAUAGUAAUUUUGCCUUAUAUCCUGGACAUUUUGGCUUCUGUUAUUUUCCUCCGGAAUGGUGAUAUUUAUGUUUUAGCAGGCAAUUAACUGAGUUCAACUCAAACUGCAAACUGUCAACAGCUGUGUUGGGUGUUGGCUCCGCUCUCAGUUCAGACUGACUUCAGUUUGUUCUGUGCGUGCUUGGUCCCAGGGUGAGCCAGAGGCUCGGCAGGUUUUCACACAUUCUUUGGGGUCCUCCAUCUCUCAUUCUUCCCUUUCUGGGAUUCCCUCCUCACUCUCUGGAAGCUCUGAUUGCCUGAGCCCCUUCUCUGGUUCUCCUUACUAGAAAGAAGGGGAGCAGUCUGUCAGAGUUUCAGCCCUCCUACACUUCCAGUGGCACUGCAGAUGCUCUCAGGGUAAUGCUACAAAACAGAAACCAAAACAGGAGAACAGGGGGCUUAUUUCCGAGCGAAACACUUCCUCCAAGUAUUGACUCUCUUCCAAAGUCUGCCUGCUUUUGCUUGUUGCUGGUUUUGUAUUUUUCUCAGUUUAUCUGAAGGAAGGCUGGGUGGGCUGUAACUCCACCAUGUUCAAAGCAGAACUUCCCUGGAAGGGAUCUUUGGUGUGCUAGUUUUAUGUGGGUUGGAUUCCUCCAGUAUCAUCAGACAUUAUUAGACCUUAUCCUCUCAUGGCCUCUUGCAGACACUCAUGAAUUCAAUCCAGCAGAAUCCUUCCCAGUUUCGGCUGCUGUUCUCAUUGAGUACCUGUUUCAAAUUUGGGGGUCCUCCUGUUACCAGGGUCAUCAGAUGCCACAGUGCUUCCCUCUCUUCAUCCAACACAGAUAGUGAUUCCACAUGGACCAUGCAGGUUUGGGUGAUGAACACCCAAAGUAGGGCUGCUGUAAAAAAAAUUACCACAAAUGGAGUGGCUUAAAACAGCAGCAAUUCUUUCACAGUUCUGGAGGCCAGAAGUCUGAAGUCAGAGUGUUGUCAAGGCCAUGGUCUCUCUGAAGGCUUCCUUGCUUCUUCCUUACUUCUGGUGACUGCUGGCAAUCCUUGACGUUCCUCAGCUUGUAGAUGCAUCACUCUCAUCUCUGCCUCUUUUGUCACAUGGCCUUCUCCCUGUGUGUCUUCUGUGUGCCCAAAUUUCCCUUGCUUUAUAAGGACACCAGUCAUCGGAUUAAGGCCCAUAUUAAUCCAACAUGACCUAGUCUUAACUUGAUGGCAUCUACAAAAAUCCUAUUUCCAAAUAAGGUCAAAUUCACAGUUGUUAGGACUUGAACUUAUCUUUUUGAGAACACAUUUCAACCUACGACAGGUGAUUUGCCCUCAAUGGAUCAUAUUGGGAGUAUUGGAGGAUAAUUUGUAAUCCAGUUUUUUUAAAGGUCAUUCAUGGACCUUUUAUCUGCUUUUCUAGCUUUUUUUUUGGUCAGGAAAUUUGGAGAGAUUCCUAAAAGGUGAAAACACCAGAUAUUGAAUAGAGUUACAUAGGUUUUGUAAUGGGAGAUGGUGUGUUGUUGCAAGCAGGCAAAGAAUAAAGAACAGGAUGAGGGGCUAAAAAAAAUUUGCUUUCAGCAUAAGUAUCACCCAAGACAUGAAUUACAAUCCUACCUAAAACAGGCAGGAAAAUGCCUAUUUUAUGUUAUUUUUUUUCUUUGUGAGGAAGAUUGGCCCUGAGCUAACAUCUAUUGCCAAUCUUCCUCUUUUUGCUUGAGGAAGAUUGUCCAUCUGUGGCAAUCUCCCUCUGUUUUGUAUGUGGGACGCCUCCACAGCAUAGCUUGAUGAGCAGUGCUAGGUCCAUGCCCAGAUCUGAACCUAUGAACCCUGGACUACACAUGAACUUAACCACUAUGCCACAGGGCCAGCCCCAAAAAUGCCUAUUUUAAAAAUGAUGAAAGAUUGAGAUGAAAACAUUUAAAAUAUAUAUCUAGGGAUUCAAAUUUCUAACUAUGAUAUUUAUUUUAGAUUUAGUAAAAAU
ensembl:lncRNA